CCUGAACGCUGGCGGCGUGGCUAAGACAUGCAAGUCGAACGGGUGUAGCAAUACACCAGUGGCGGACGGGUGAGUAAUGUAUCGCUAACGUCGCCCUGGAAUCUGAGAUAGCCAAUCGGAAAGGGUUGGGUAAUACCAGAUAGAAAUAUCCUUAUCGCAUGAUGAGGAUCUACAAAGGAGCAAUCCGGUCUGGGAGGCGGGCGAUAUCGUAUCAGCUAGUUGGUGAGGUAACGGCUCACCAAGGCGACGACGCGUAGCCGGGCUGAGAGGUCGGCCGGCCACAUUGGGACUGAGACACUGCCCAGACUCCGUACGGGGGCUGCAGUAACGAAUCUUCCGCAAUGCACGAAAGUGUGACGGAG
rnacentral:rRNA from 1 species